rnacentral:rRNA from 1 species
AACGAACGCUGGCGGCAUGCCUAACACAUGCAAGUCGAACGAGACCUUCGGGUCUAGUGGCGAACGGGUGCGUAACGCGUGGGAACCUGCCCUUAGGUUCGGAAUAACUGCCCGAAAGGGGGGGUAAUACCGGAUAAUGUCUUAGGACCAAAGAUUUAUCGCCUUUGGAUGGGCCCGCGUUGGAUUAGCUAGUUGGUAGGGUAAAAGCCUACCAAGGCGACGAUCCAUAGCUGGUCUGAGAGGAUGAUCAGCCACACUGGGACUGAGACACGGCCCAGACUCCUACGGGAGGCAGCAGUGGGGAAUAUUGGACAAUGGGCGAAAGCCUGAUCCAGCAAUGCCGCGUGAGUGAUGAAGGCCUUAGGGUUGUAAAGCUCUUUUACCCGGGAUGAUAAUGACAGUACCGGGAGAAUAAGCUCCGGCUAACUCCGUG